rnacentral:rRNA from 1 species
ACAGCAGCCGCCGCGGGAAUACAGAGGGUGCGAGCGUUAAUCGGAUUUACUGGGCGUAAAGCGUGCGUAGGCGGCUUUUUAAGUCGGAUGUGAAAUCCCUGAGCUUAACUUAGGAAUUGCAUUCGAUACUGGGAAGCUAGAGUAUGGGAGAGGAUGGUAGAAUUCCAGGUGUAGCGGUGAAAUGCGUAGAGAUCUGGAGGAAUACCGAUGGCGAAUGCAGCCAUCUGGCCUAAUACUGACGCUGAGGUACGAAAGCAUGGGGAGCAAACAGGAUUAGAUACCCCCGUAGUCCCUGUCUCUUAUAC